UACCAGCACCCCGAGUGGUCGGGACGAUUAUUGGGCCUAAAGCAUCCGUAGCCGGUUUUACAAGUCCUCCGUUAAAUCCAGCUGCUUAACAGAUGGGCUGCGGAGGAUACUAUAAGACUAGGAGGCAGGAGAGGCAAGCGGUACUCAGUGGGUAGGGGUAAAAUCCGUUGAUCCAUUGAAGACCACCAGUGGCGAAGGCGGCUUGCCAGAAUGCGCUCGACGGUGAGG
rnacentral:rRNA from 1 species